UACAGAGGUCUCAAGCGUUGUUCGGAUUCAUUGGGCGUAAAGGGUGCGUAGGUGGCGUCGUAAGUCGGGUGUGAAAUUUCGGAGCUCAACUCCGAAACUGCAUUCGAUACUGCGGUGCUUGAGGACUGGAGAGGAGACUGGAAUUUACGGUGUAGCAGUGAAAUGCGUAGAGAUCGUAAGGAAGACCAGUGGCGAAGGCGGGUCUCUGGACAGUUCCUGACACUGAGGCACGAAGGCCAGGGGAGCAAACGGG
rnacentral:rRNA from 1 species